UGUCACGGGCCGGGGCGGCAGUGCGGGGACUGGGCUUCCUCUGCAGCGAGGGAACGGCUUGAGGCUGAAUCAAACUGGCAAGUGUGGAGUCAACAUCUCCCUGCUGACUAGCGGCUACUCCAGAAGGGCCUGUGGCAAGACCACCAAGUCCUAAAUCAUGCCCGGCUUUCUGCAGCAGGUCUACUACAAUACAGGAUCCUCAGGAAUCACACACAUCAAGUAAGACUUUGCUUCUUUUCUUCUGUUCUUCCCUUACCCGCUUGUCAGCUUCUACCUUUUCUGCCGUCCACUGCUGUCUUUACACCAGGUAAUCAGAGAAUUUGUUGGGAUUUUUUUUUUUUCUAAUGACUAAUGGGAAUUUUAUCAGGCUCUCUAGGCAUCUGACAUGUUCACACUGAGCACCACCCUCUGCUUGCCAGUACAUGUAUUUUGAUUGGUGACUUUUGCAACAGUGCUCCAACACCUGGAAGAUACUGAUUACUGUAUCGUAAUUUAAAAAUAAGAUUUCUUUUUCUUAAUAUGCAACACAGUCCUUUAUACUGAGCUGAAAAUUCACAGGGUGUCUAAGUCUUUCCAAGGAAACAUUUCCUUACCUAAAGAAA
rnacentral:lncRNA from 1 species